GAUGAACGCUGACAGCAUGCUUAACACAUGCAGUCACCGAUUGUGGCGGACGGGUGAGUAACGCGUAAAGAACUUGACUCACAGCUAGGGACAACAUUUAGAAAUGAAAGCUAAUACAUGAUACUGUGAGAGAGCUUUGCGUCCCAUGAGCUAGUUGGCGAGGUAACAGCUCACCAAGGAGAUGAUGGGUAGCCGGCCUGAGAGGGUGAACGGCCACAAGGUCACUGGGACGCAGCCCUUGCGCAUACGGGAGGCAGCAGUGGAGAAUAGUGGAAAAUGGACCGAAGUCUGUUCCAGCAAUUCGGUGUGCAAGGUGAAUUUUUCGGAAGGUAGAGUGCUUUCAGUUGAGAAGCGGUACCAACAGAAGAAGCGACGGCUAAAUACGUGCCAGCAGCCGCGGUAAUUC
rnacentral:rRNA from 1 species